AUGCAGGGAGCCCAACGUGGGACUCGAUCCCGGGUCUCCAGGAUCACACCCUGGGCUGAAGGCGGCGCUAAACUGCUGGGCCACCGGCGGUGCCCGUAUUCUGUCCUUUUAAAGAGACCCGCUGCAGGACUUGCGUGCGUCAUAUGCCGUCUUUGCUCAGCCUCCUUCCUUGGCUGUCCCACGCCUCAGGCCUGGUCAGAACUCACCUGCGCCGGAGUCCUCAUCUCCAGGCUCCAUCUGGGGAACACAGCCCAUGGCAGUGGGCUAAACCUCACCGUGUUCCUAGACCUCAAGGCAGAAGCAAGUACUCUGCUGCAAGAGGCAAAGAAUGUCUGCCUCACAAGAAUGAUUCAAUUCUCCGCUGUCCCUACUUGCCAGGGUACUCGAGGGAGGACCUUGAAGUCAGUGGUGUUUAAUGGAGUGGCUGAGACAUCUCUACCUCCCUUCUCCCCUCUUUUGCUCCAUGUUGGCUGAGAAGGCAGCUGCCCUGGAAAAGAUUUUUUGGCUGAUCCAUUUUCUCCCUGCUCCCUCAGACUUUCCCAUGCAAAGCUAAAAAUAGCAACUCAUUGCUGUUGUCAAACUGAAAGACAGAAUCCGAUUCCCACCAUCCGGGCAAAGACAGGGCAGUCCUGUCCAUGGUGUGGGCAGGUGCGGGGCCCCAGGCUCGGGGAGCAUGAAGAAACUGGAAGGAUCUCUCGGGUGGGGCUGGUAUGCAUUUAAUGUCCAAAGGGAUGGACAGCUAUUGUCACAGGUAUCAACUCGCAGUAUUACAGUAGGAGUCAGGAUUCUCAGACAGUCUGGCAACGGCUUGGGGCUUUCCAGAAGGCCUCAUGUGGUCCGCCAACGCACAUGUCCCUGGACGGCCAGCUGAGGGGUAGAGUUCACUACAUAGGCAAUGUGGCCCCCAAGCUCUGGAGGCUGCAGAUCAAAUGGAGAGUCACCCCGGGGGGCUGUUGGCCUGUGCUGAAGAACCGUGACACUUGCAACCCCAUGGCAGGAGCCAAAUUAUGCAACCGCCUUCAUUUCAUCACCCAUUUCUGCCCUCCUCCUCUGCAAAGCCUUCCCAGGCAGCCGCCAGCCGUGUCUCUUCCUCCUCUGAGUUUCGGACUGUACCAACCACUGGACACGUAAACAGUUAUGGUCUGUGGCAUUCCCAGCAUCCUACAUGGAGUUUUCACCUACUGCAUUAUUCUUUAAAGAAGUGUGUGCUUGUGUGUGCACAUGCAUGUGUGUAUAUCUGUGUGUGUGUGUGUGUGUGUGUGCAUGUGUCCUGGUGCAGGAGCUCCUGUGCAGAGCAGAAACACAUGAGACAAAUAGAUUCCAUCUACUGAGAUCUUCCCAAACACCAGCAAUCUCUGUGCUUCGGCUCACGUAAUCCUCCCAAAGACCCUCUGCAGUGCCACCAAAGGACUUCCUGAGACUUCUUGACUUCUGUGUCUUAGCUGCCCAGUAUCUGACCCCCUUCUCAGGUGCGGGGAAAUUCUCCCUGUAGAUGCCUGGGGCUCCCUUUCUCUCACUGCUGACCAGAGGCCACAGAGCCAGACACUUGCUUUCUCCCUCUGCCUGGCAGCUAGACCUCAGGCGUGUGACUGGGUCUGGCCUCAGAUUUUAAUCAGAAACAAGUGGCAGAAAGAAGGGGACAGGGAGAAGCUGUUCUAGCAGCAGCAUUGGUAGCAACAUCUGGAUGCUAGGGGCAGCAGGUCAAGUGGCUCCUCCCUUGUUUCCAGCAGUUUCUGAGCCCACUUGCACCCACCCUUCUCAGUGAUUCUUUGAGCUACUCAAAUCCCAUCACAAAACUUCUGUACCUAAGUCGGUCAGAAUAAAUUUUGAUUACUUGCAGCCA
rnacentral:lncRNA from 12 species